rnacentral:lncRNA from 1 species
GGGUGACUAGGAUUAAAACCCCAAUCUUCAUCCCCAUCCCAUCUUUCUCUUCCCCAACUUCUGUCUUUCUCAAACUUCUUCCCCACAUCAUCAUAUCAGUCAUCAAUCAACUUUCUUCAAAGGUAUGUAUUUCUCCUUCAAUCAAACCUCUUUUUAUGAAUUUCAGCAAAAAGAUUGAUAUAAAUAGAUUAGCCAUUUUAUACAUCAACCAAAAGUUAUUUUUUUAUUUGGAUUUUGAAUUUUGUUUUACUUUUCAUUACGAAAAUCUUACCCAUCUCUGAAUUUUGUUUUAUCAAUUGGUCAAAGCCUCAAUUUUGAUAUUUCAAUAUAUUGGUCUUUAAACACCAAACUGCUAUAUGGGUCUGAUUCAUCUGAGCUUGAAUUGAAAAGGGUUUGCCCAUCUGACUUUCUUUUCACUGCAAAACUAAAUGGAUCUGAAAUGUAACUAAAAAUAAGCUUAUUUCCAGAAAUUUCUGAUUCACCAUAAAGAACUUUCCUUGAUUUCCCAAUAGAUUUUUUCAUUGUUGGGGGUUGUUCUCUUGGUAAUAAAUCUUACGGUACUUCCCCCAACAAUGGGAAGUAAUUAAUUCAAAAUUAUAGGCGUACUUGCCUAUAUGAUGAAUCAAAUUCAAGCCCCCUAAAUUGCAGAAAUCAAGUUUUCAACCUUUUUUUUUUAUUCCCUUAAUUGCAUAUUAAGAAAAAUUGGUAAAAUGAUGGCAUAUUAGUUACUAACCCUUUUCUUUAAUGCAGGUGAACAUCCAAGACUUUUCCGGCUAACCAGAUUACAAGGAAGGCAUGAUUAUAUUCAUCUAUGGUCUUAUUCAAUUGGAAGUAAGUUUUUUUUUCAGUAUGAAUACUAACGUUCAUCCUCAAUUUUUAUUGAACAAAUCAAUAUUAACAUCAUUUGCAAAUCCUAUUAUGCACAGACAAUAGUGAAUUGGGUAUGGUUUAUUUUAGAACAUUCUGACAAAGACCUUUUUUCUUUUCGUGAAUUUAGUUCAUUUUUGAUUUUGUUCAAAAAAUUUAAAUUUUUUACGAGGUUGGAAAUGGUGGCAUAUGAAUCAAACUGUUUCAUAAUUUUUCAUCAUCCUUAGAAUAGUGAAGUUUUUAUGAUCAUUAAUGUGAACAACGACUGCACAUCGACUAGAUUUUCAGAUAGUGGUUUACAACACUACUAAAUAUUAUUGGAAGGUAAUCCAUGUACAUUUGAUUGGUAGGCAAUUACAUGAUUGCAUUAUUUGAUUCAUCAUAUAGGCAAGUACGCCUAUAAUUUUGAAUUCCUGAUUCAAGUCAAUAAUUUUGAUAGCUUAAUCACUGCUUUCAAUAGAAGUAUAAAACCUUAAAAAAAAGUGCUAGCAAAUGUUAGCAAAUGAUGGUACUUAGGAUGUACUCAUUAAUAUGACAUGAGUUUAUCAAUAUUAUCUCACUAAGUACACAUUAAUUAAUCAUUUCAGAAUACAUAAAUGUCAGAUUGAAGAAACUGUUUUCAACUGUUUCUUUUAUACGCUUUCAAUGGUUGCAACUGGCAUAUUCUAUAAUUUUGUGGGGAGGUUUUGCGAUGUGGUUUAAGCUAGGAACUGCAAAUUCCCAGAUAGAGGACCUUCUGAUCUCAGCAUACCCUAUGAAACCAUUGAAAUUCUCUAUGCGGUCUAAAUUGUGAAAGGCUCUAGAGUCUAGAUUGAAAUCCCGAGCCAUUUAAUCUCAUUUCUAAGAAUUGUCAGGCCUGAGCACGAAGUUGAUUUUAUUGUUUUUAUAGAGACGUUAAUGAGAUAGAAUCUAAGUUUUGUUUAUCGAGAGACAAUAGCUUUUUAUUGACUGUUUCACUAUGCUCAUAGAUAAUGAAGUGUAGAUUAUACUAAUUAUGUGCUUAUAGGUUCUUAUUGAAUGUUCCUGCUUUGAUCCUGAUUGAAAGAUGAUUAAUGUAUUGUUGUUUGGCUAACUGAUUGUAGGUGUCUAGGCUAUUCGUGUUGCCAAGAUUGUUCAGGUGACAGUAUAACAAGGUAAGACUUUGGUCUUAUUGUUAAUUUUAACAUUAAUAUUUAUCCGAGCUUCACAAAUUGAUAGAAUGAUGGCAUGGCGUUAAAUUUAGAUUGGGUUGUCAACACUUUACACCGUUCAUCUGGGGUUUAUUGUCAACACCUACUGUAGGCGUGCAUAUAUUGGGUUCCUAUGCUUCCAUCAUCUAUUGUUUUAAAAUAUGCAUUGAAACCAAACAGAAUGUUUUUUGUUUUUGUUGGGAUUAAUGUAGUAUCUUUCAUUGAAUCUCAGCAGCCAAAGUACAACUGAGACACAUUAUAAAAAUUGCAGACUCCAUACAACGCUACCAACAUUUUACAAUCUGCUGUUGUCCCCUAUCACUGAGUCGACAUAGAAACUAGCUUAAAUUAAAAACAAUGUAACAGACCUCCAAUUUCACACUAUACAGCAGUACCCCAAGACCUCAACAUCAACACAUUAGCCAUCCCUGCCUUAGCCCUGAACCUGAGCUUUGUUACCACCUGUCAAUCAACAAAUCUUCCUAACUGUCCAGUAAUGCAGUGACCUGCAAAUUGUUUUUUACAUCCACUUACUUGCCCAUGAUAUCCAGCUAUGACCGUAGAGUAAGCUUGAUUUGUUUCACUGCAUUAUCCAUGUCGAACAAUCCAUUUUCAGAAUCAAUUUAAUUCCUGGUAUACCAUACGAUCAAAAUGAUUGCAUAAGGUACAAUGUUCCAUGUAACUUUCACUGAGACCUGGGUUAUUGAAAUAUAUUGACAAUGUUCACAAGUCUACAUACUCCUAUUCAUCAUACUCCUACUCUGAAAUUUUUAUCUUCAAUUUAUUUUGAAUGCAUGUACAUGAUUGAAAUAUAGCUUUAUAAUGGAUAACCUUUACUCCUAAACAAACUGAUUUCUAUCUUUUGAAACAGGGAGACAAAAUCCAUGCGAAGUUUAAUGCUUACGACCUUCAAACCUUCGAAGAAAGAAUCGCUCAAGGAAGAAUUUGUACUUUUACCAAAUUCAAAUCUUGGAAAUCAGAGAGAUAUAAAAGUAACGACUGUGAGAUUGGGUUGCAAAACUAUACCAUUAUAAAGACAAUCGAAGAGGACAUCGCAGAUUUUCCUAUGUACAACUAUGACUUUGAAGAAUAUUCCGAAGUGGCCACCUACUAUAGAAGAGAAAACGACAGAAGCAUAGGUAAUAUGAAUACAUCCAAUUUUAAAGUCUCUAUUACUCAAUACCAAAACCAACUUUGUAUGAUUACUAAUCAUUUUCUUCUUCUUUUUAAUUUGUCAAGAUAUAAUGGGCAGACUACAUUAUUACAAGGAAUCACAACAAAGGACGAUUGGAGAGCGACAAACUUAUGUUCGAGAUAUCUUCCUCAUGAAUGAU